UACGAAGGGGGCGAGCGUUGUUCGGAAUCACUGGGCGUAAAGAGUGCGUAGGCGGCGAUAAAAGUUAGAAGUGAAAGCCCAGGGCUCAACCCUGGAAUUGCUUUUAAAACUAGAUUGCUAGAAUUCGGGAGAGGAUAGCGGAAUUGUCAGUGUAGCAGUGAAAUGCGUAGAUAUUGACAGGAACACCAGUGGCGUAAGCGGCUAUCUGGACCGACAUUGACGCUGAGGCACGAAAGCGUGGGGAUCAAACAGG
rnacentral:rRNA from 1 species